CAUUAAGCACUCCGCCUGGGGAGUACGACCGCAAGGUUGAAACUCAAAGGAAUUGACGGGGGCCCGCACAAGCGGUGGAGCAUGUGGUUUAAUUCGAAGCAACGCGAAGAACCUUACCAGGUCUUGACAUCCUUUGACCACUCUAGAGAUAGAGCUUCCCCUUCGGGGGCAAAGUGACAGGUGGUGCAUGGUUGUCGUCAGCUCGUGUCGUGAGAUGUUGGGUUAAGUCCCGCAACGAGCGCAACCCUUAUUGUUAGUUGCCAUCAUUUAGUUGGGCACUCUAGCAAGACUGCCGGUGACAAACCGGAGGAAGGUGGGGAUGACGUCAAAUCAUCAUGCCCCUUAUGACCUGGGCUACACACGUGCUACAAUGGGAAGUACAACGAGUCGCGAAGUCGCGAGGCUAAGCUAAUCUCUUAAAGCUUCUCUCAGUUCGGAUUGUAGGCUGCAACUCGCCUACAUGAAGCCGGAAUCGCUAGUAAUCGCGGAUCAGCACGCCGCGGUGAAUACGUUCCCGGGCCUUGUACACACCGCCCGUCACACCACGAGAGUUUGUAACACCCGAAGUCGGUUGA
rnacentral:rRNA from 1 species